rnacentral:rRNA from 1 species
GAUGAACGCUGACAAAAUGCUUAACACAUGCAAGUCAACUUGAACUUCGGUUUGGGUGGCGGACGGGUGAGUAACGCGUAAAGAACUUGCCUCACAGAUAGGGACAACAUUUGGAAACGAAUGCUAAUACCUGAUAUUAUGAUUUUAGGGCAUCCUAGAAUUAUGAAAGCUAUAUGCACUGUGAGAGAGCUUUGCGUCCCAUUAGCUAGUUGGAGAGGUAACGGCUCACCAAGGCGAUGAUGGGUAGCCGGCCUGAGAGGGUGAUCGGCCACAAGGGGACUGAGACACGGCCCUUACUCCUACGGGAGGCAGCAGUGGGGAAUAUUGGACAAUGGACCGAGAGUCUGAUCCAGCAAUUCUGUGUGCACGAUGAAGUUUUUCGGAAUGUAAAGUGCUUUCAGUUGGGAAGAAAAAAAUGACGGUACCAACAGAAGAAGUGACGGCUAAAUACGUGCCAGCAGCCGCGGUAAUACGUAUGUCACAAGCGUUAUCCGGAUUUAUUGGGCGUAAAGCGCGUCUAGGUGGUUAUGUAAGUCUGAUGUGAAAAUGCAGGGCUCAACUCUGUAUUGCGUUGGAAACUGUGUAACUAGAGUACUGGAGAGGUAAGCGGAACUACAAGUGUAGAGGUGAAAUUCGUAGAUAUUUGUAGGAAUGCCGAUGGGGAAGCCAGCUUACUGGACAGAUACUGACGCUGAAGCGCGAAAGCGUGGGUAGCAAACAGG